UUUCAAAUCUUUCUGUUUGAACCCGUCGACCUGGAACUUUUCAAUUAUUGGUAAUAUUCAGGUCCUGGAAUUGAGUAUUUUUUAAUCAACAGCAUUGUCCAAUAAAGUUCAAAUCUUUGAUUCGCUGUUUUGCGUCAUGCCCGCUAACAAAUUGAAAACUGUACCUAUACGCCUUAGUCCAAAUUUUUAGUAUUCGUAUUGUUAUCUUAGAAAGUUUUACUAAUUAAAAAACUACAAUAGGGAACAAUUUGACAAUGAUUGAAUUUAGUUGUGUCGACUUUAUGAUUAUGACCCGUGUAUAUAGUAAAAUCAAAUACACCAUUUGGUGGUGCGCCUGUUAGAUGCGG
rnacentral:lncRNA from 1 species